UACGUAGGGGGCUAGCGUUGUCCGGAAUCAUUGGGCGUAAAGAGCGUGUAGGCGGUCCGGUAAGUCUGCUGUGAAAGUCCGGGGCUCAACUCCGGAUCUGCGGUGGGUACGGGCAGACUAGAGUGAUGUAGGGGAGACUGGAAUUCCUGGUGUAGCGGUGAAAUGCGCAGAUAUCAGGAGGAACACCGAUGGCGAAGGCAGGUCUCUGGGCCGAUACUGACGCUGAGGAGCGAAAGCGUGGGGAGCGAACAGG
rnacentral:rRNA from 1 species